GCAUAUCAAUAAGCGGAGGAAAAGAAACUAACAAGGAUUCCCCUAGUAACGGCGAGUGAAGCGGGAAGAGCUCAAAUUUGUAAUCUGGCACYUUCRGUGUCCGAGUUGUAAUCUCGAGAAGUGUUUUCCGCGCCGGACCGCAUACAAGUCUGUUGGAAUACAGCGUCAUAGUGGUGAGAACCCCGUAACUGAUGCGGAUGCCCGGUGCUUUGUGAUACACUUUCGAAGAGUCGAGUUGUUUGGGAAUGCAGCUCAAAUUGGGUGGUAAAUUCCAUCUAAAGCUAAAUAUUGGCGAGAGACCGAUAGCGAACAAGUACCGUGAGGGAAAGAUGAAAAGCACUUUGGAAAGAGAGUUAACAGUACGUGAAAUUGUUGGAAGGGAAACGCUUGAAGUCAGACUUGCUAUUUGGAAUUCAGCCGCAAGGUGUACUUUUCAAUUCGCAGGCCAGCAUCAGUUUUCGGGGGUGGAAAAGGGUAGAGAGAAGGUAGCAAUUUCGGUUGUGUUAUAGCUCUUUGCUGGAUUCAUCCUUGGGGACUGAGGAACGCAGCACGCUUUUUGCAAGGCUUUCGAGCUUUUCGUGCUUAGGAUGCUGGUGGAAUGGCUUUAAACGACCCGUCUUGAAACACGGACCAAGGAGUCUAACAUGCUUGCGAGUGUUUGGGUGUCAAACCCGGACGCGCAAUGAAAGUGAAUGGAGGUGGGAAGCGCAAGCUGCACCAUCGACCGAUCUGGAUUUUUUAAGAUGGAUUUGAGUAAGAGCAAUUAUGUUGGGACCCGAAAGAUAGUGAACUAUGCCUGAAUAGGGCGAAGCCAGAGGAAACUCUGGUGGAGGCUCGUAGCGGUUCUGACGUGCAAAUCGAUCGUC
rnacentral:rRNA from 1 species